rnacentral:rRNA from 1 species
CCCUUAGAUGUUCUGGGCCGCACGCGCGCUACACUGAUGCAUUCAACGAGUCUACAACCUGGUCUGAUAGGGCUGGGUAAUCUUUUGAAUGUGCAUCGUGAUUGGGAUAGAUGAUUGCAAUUCCUCAUCUUCAACGAGGAAUGCCUAGUAAACGCAAGUCAUCAACUUGCAUUGAUUACGUCCCUGCCCUUUGUUCACACCGCCCGUCGCACCUACCGAUUGAAUGGUCCGGUGAAGCCUCCGGAUUGGCGCGCACCUCGGUGCCGCCGAGAAGUUGGCUAAACCUUACCAUUUAGAAGAAGGUGAAGUCGUAACA